GACGAACGCUGGCGGCGUGCUUAACACAUGCAAGUCGAACGGAAGGCCCCUUUGGGGGUACUCGAGUGGCGAACGGGUGAGUAACACGUGAGGAACCUGCCCUUGACUUCGGGAUAACUUCAGGAAACUGGGGCAAAUACCGGAUAGGAAUCCUUGCUGCAUGGUGGGGGUUGGAAAGCUUCGGCGGUUUUGGAGGGACUCGCGGCGUAUCAGCUGGUUGGUGGGGUAGUGGCUGACCAAGGCUUUGACGGGUAGCCGGCCUGUGGGGGCGACCGGCCAGAUUGGGACUGAGAUACGGCCCAGACUCCUACGUGAGGCAGCAGUGGGGAAUAUUGCACAAUGGGCGGCAGCCUGAUGCAGCAACGCCUCGUGCGGGAUGACCGCCUUCGGGUUGUAAACCGCUUUCAGCAGGGGCGAAGCUUGUGGUGACGGUACCUGCAGAAGAAGCACCGGCUAACUACGUG
rnacentral:rRNA from 1 species